CGGCGUGCCUAAUACAUGCAAGUCGAACGCAUUGUGGUUGAAAUGAUAUGAAGAACUUGUUCAGAUUUGAUUUUCAACAUUGCAAUGAGUGGCGAACGGGUGAGUAACACGUGGGAAACCUACCUCUUAGCAGGGGAUAACAUUUGGAAACAAAUGCUAAUACCGUAUAAUAAUUAAAACCGCAUGGUUUUAGUUUAAAAGAUGGUCUUGCUAUCACUAAGAGAUGGUCCCGCGGUGUAUUAGUUAGUUGGUGAGGUAAUGGCUCACCAAGACAAUGAUACAUAGCCGAGUUGAGAGACUGACCGGCCACAAUGGGACUGAGACACGGCCCAUACUCCUACGGAGGCAGCAGUAGGGAAUCUUCCACAAUGGACGAAAGUCUGAUGGAGCAACGCCGCGUGUGUGAUGAAGGGUUUCGGCUCGUAAAACACUGUUGUAAGAGAAGAAUGACAUUGAGAGUAACUGUUCAAUGUGUGACGGUAUCUUACCAGAAAGGAACGGCUAAAUACGUG
rnacentral:rRNA from 1 species